rnacentral:tRNA from 1 species
GGGUCGAUGCCCGAGCGGUUAAUGGGGACGGACUAUAAUUCAUAGCAAUAUGUCUACGCUGGUUCAAAUCCAGCUCGGCCCA